rnacentral:lncRNA from 1 species
UCCCUACGAUGCCAGUCCCCUGCAGGAGGACAGGGUCCCUCUGCUCUGGUCUGGGGCUGACCCCCCACCCCAUGGUCCCCUGCAGGAGGACGGGGUCCCUCUGCUCUGGUCUGGGGGGGCUGACCCCCCACCCCAUGGUCCCCUGCAGGAGGACGGGGUCCCUCU